ACAGGAAUGGAAUAGGCAACAUUGUAUAUUAAUUUGGGAAGCACUGGGAAAACGUGCGUAAAUUUCCAUCCGUUCAUCGAUCUGUCGACACUUACCCUAGUGGUUAGUGUAGUUGUUUAUAUUCUUUGUGUUGUAACCAUUCCGCCGUUGUCGUAUAACUAAGUUCGAUCAUCAGUACAAAUAUCGUAAGUAAACACCAAUAUUUAUAGUACAGUUUCAGACGAUUUAACUUUCUACCGUAAGCACAUUAGUAUUUUCGAGCGAGAAUACUCAAAUCGAAAUAAAUUUCUUUAAUUUUAUCAUCUGGAAUUUAUCUAUUCCUUCAUAUUACUUACUACAAUUGAUAAACUGAUUAUGGUUUUAUAGGUAACGCACCUAAACGUUCAUUACCUAUCCACCGUAGGUUUAUAAUAUUCUAAUCUAAUAGUGUAUUCAUAAUACAUGAGUUAGUAGGUAUCUAUAUUUUUCCUAUACCUACAUGCAAAUUCAUAUGAUAUCAGAGUAUGUUAUUAAACAUGUUUCUUAUCAUCAGAUUUAUUAUUAAUUAUUUUUCAAAGUUAUUCUUAAUAUCCUUAAUAAUCUCAAAAUUAUAUUGAUAGUGCUAACAUAUUCUAUUAAUUAGUGUCCUCUUUGUUUGAUCUUGCCGUUCACUUUAAAUUUAAUACAUAAUAAAUUCAUGUCCGUGUACUUCCUAUGAUCUAAAUAAUUUAAGUCCGUGGACCGAACCGUGAUAAGGUUUUGUUUGAUACAUUGUAUACAAAUUUAGGAAGCCCUGUGGUGUCAAAUAUUGCUAUCAAAACGUGCGUAGACUUCCAUCCGUUCAUCGAUCUGUCGACAUUACCCUAGUGGUUAGUGUAGUUGCUUAUAUUCUUUGUUUUGUACCCAUUUCGCCGUUGUGGAAUUAAGAAGUUCGAUCGUCACUACAAAUAACGUAAGUAAACGCCUAUACUCAUAGUUCAGUUUCAGCCUAUUUAACUAACUAACGUAAGCACAUUGGUAUUUUCGAACGGGAA